rnacentral:rRNA from 1 species
AGAGUUUGAUCCUGGCUCAGGACGAACGCUGGCGGCGUGCCUAAUACAUGCAAGUCGAGCGAGAAAGUUUCCUUCGGGGGACGAGUAGAGCGGCGAACGGGUGAGUAACGCGUAGAUAAUCUACCCUUGAGAUUGAGAUAACCUUGGGAAACUGGGGCUAAUACCGAAUGACGCCUUUAGAGCGGAAUCUAGAGGUUAAAGGGGCUUUUGUCCCGCUUGAGGAUGAGUCUGCGUUCUAUCAGCUAGUUGGUGGGGUAAUGGCCCACCAAGGCAAAGACGGAUAGCUGAUCUGAGAGGAUGAUCAGUCACACUGGCACUGAGACACGGGCCAGACUCCUACGGGAGGCAGCAGUAGGGAAUAUUGCGCAAUGGGCGAAAGCCUGACGCAGCGACGCCGCGUGAGUGAAGAAGGCCUUAUGGGUUGUAAAGCUCUGUAAGGAGGGAAGAACAUCUUGGGGUAAUGCCCAAGGCUGACGGUACCUCCUAAGUAAGCACCGGCUAAAUACGUGCCAGCAGCCGCGGUAAUACGUAUGGUGCGAGCGUUGUCCGGAAUGACUGGGCGUAAAGGGUGCGUAGGCGGACUGACAUGUCAGGUGUGAAAUCCCCGGGCUUAACCUGGGAACUGCGCUUGAAACGGUUAGUCUAGAGUAUGUCAGAGGUAAGCGGAAUUCCCGGAGUAGCGGUGAAAUGCGUAGAAAUCGGGAAGAACACCAGUGGCGAAGGCGGCUUACUGGGACAAAACUGACGCUGAGGCACGAAAGCGUGGGGAGCGAACGGGAUUAGAUACCCCGGUAGUCCACGCCGUAAACGAUGUAUACUAGAUGUCGGGGCCAUUUAAAAGGACUCGGUAUCGCAGCUAACGCAAUAAGUAUACCGCCUGGGGAGUACGGUCGCAAGAUUAUAACUCAAAGGAAUUGACGGGGGCCCGCACAAGCGGUGGAGCAUGUGGUUUAAUUCGAUGCAAUGCGCAGAACCUUACCCGGCCUUGACAUCCUCUGGCCAGAUUCUAGAGAUAGAAUCCUUCUCUUCGGAGACCGGAGUGACAGGUGCUGCAUGGCUGUCGUCAGCUCGUGUUGUGAGAUGUUGGGUUAAGUCCCGCAACGAGCGCAACCCUUGCUUCUAGUUGCCAUCAUUAAGUUGGGCACUCUAAAAGGACUGCCGAGGUUAACUCGGAGGAAGGCGGGGAUGACGUCAAGUCCUCAUGGCCCUUAUGGCCGGGGCUACACACGUGCUACAAUGGUGCGGACAAAUUGAAGCGAAGCCGCGAGGUUUAGCGAAUC